AUGCCCGACCCUGUCGUCGGUUGGAUCGGUGGAGGGAUCGCAGAAAGAGAUAGUGUGGUCGUUCGUCAAAGACGCAACGAAACGCGCGGACACGCGUUAUCUUCGGUGUAAGCACGCCGAGCAAUCGAAUCUGAUCUCCAUUACACGUACCGCGGCGAGAAUCGUUAAAAAAUCUGAGCAAUGACAAUCGCGGAGACCACAGAAUUGAAGAUGAAUUCUACGGGGAUUUCCAAUACCGUGGACGGGAUCCUGAAUCCGUUGAACAACAGGGAUCCGCAACAACUGGAACAGAUCUCCAAUUCUAGCAUGGAGGCAAACCCCCUACUGGAGUCCAAUCGAGUUGAUCAUUCAUCGGUGAAAAUUGACACUUCUACCAUGAAAUCGAAGAAAAUGGACAAGGAGGAGGAUGAUUGGGCGUCGAUGAACACCUCAAGAAGAGAUCCAGAAGUGAAUGAUUGUAACGCGAUCGUUCCACCUGAUGGCGGUCUCAGAGCUUGGAUGAUUAUGAUAGGCAGUUUCGUUAUUAAUGGUGUUCUAUUCAGCGUCAUAAACACGUAUUCGUUGAUCUAUCUAGAGUUGCAGAAGAGAUUGUUGGAUUCUGGAGAAACGGCAGCCUCUUCGAAGGCGGCGUUGGUAGGGUCAUUAACCAUUGGUACAACAUUCUUUCUAUCGCCAAUUUCUGGCAUUCUCACCGAUAAAAUUGGGAUUCAGAUGACCACAUUUUUGGGUGGUGCUCUUGCAUCCAGUGGUAUGCUUUUAUCCUCGAUAUUUUCUAGUAAGGUGACAUUACUCUAUUUGACCUACGGAGUGAUGUACGGUCUCGGUGCGAGUCUUGCCUACACGCCUAGCCUAGCGAUCUUGGGCCAUUAUUUUAAGAGAUACUUGGGCUUGGUCAAUGGGAUCGUCACGGCUGGAAGCUCCAUAUUUACGAUCCUUAUGCCGUACCUGAUUGAGGUCAUACUCCGCCGUUUCGGUUUGGAGGGCACGUUGAGGUUCUUAGCUAUGCUCACGGCGAUCGUCAUGCCUUGCGCUAUACUUUUCAAGCCGAUUCCACUUAACUCGAUGCCAAAGGAUCAACUAAAAUCCAAAUCGAGCCUCAAAAACUGUGUCAAGCAAGUGAUAAACGUCUCGAUAUGGAGGAAAAAACGUUACAUAGUGUGGGCUAGCUCCAUUCCCCUCGCUUUGUUCGGAUAUUUCGUCCCGUAUGUUCACAUAGGGAAAUUCGUGGAGAUGGUGUUCAAGGACGCGGAUGGAAAGCUUCCGAUCAUGUGCAUCGGUAUCACUUCCGGUAUUGGUCGAUUGCUCUUCGGUUAUAUCGCUGAUUUGCCGAGGGUAAACAGAAUAUUGUUGCAACAGAUAUCGUUUUUUAGCAUUGGUGCUCUUACAAUGCUUCUCCCUGUUACACCUUCGUUUGUAAUAUUGCUACUUAUUUCUUUGGCUAUGGGAUUAUUCGAUGGUUGCUUUAUAUCCCUUUUGGGCCCUAUUGCAUUCGAUAUAUGCGGUCGAGAAGGUGCGACACAAGCUAUAGGAUUUCUAUUAGGCAUGUGUUCUAUACCUUUGACUGUGGGGCCACCCAUAGCUGGCUUUCUAUAUGAUCAUACAGGUACCUAUGAUCUGCCUUUUUUCUUAGCUGGUAUUCCACCAAUAGCAGGGGCGCUUACGAUGUUCCUGAUAAAAUUUGUAAAGGAUGAAGAACAGAAUAGCGUUACCGCGAACACAGGGGAUAAAGCUGCUUGUCAGAAUGGCGGUUGAAACUUUCCACGGAAAGCUUUUCGGAUAAAAUAAAACACGAAUCCGUCUGCUGUCGAGGGGGACAGAGCACUUGGGUGCUCCAGUAUCACCUUUCUGUCUUCGUAUCUUGUCACUGGUCUCAAAUACGAGCAAUUAAACUGGAAGGUGACGUGUCCAGGCGUGCACGAUCCCCACUCGUCGAAAUGUUGCGGAUAUCACGA
rnacentral:misc_RNA from 1 species